GAUGAACGCUAGCGGCAGGCUUAACACAUGCAAGUCGAGGGGUAUAGUUCUUCGGAGCUAGAGACCGGCGCACGGGUGCGUAACGCGUAUGCAAUCUACCUUUUACAGGGGGAUAGCCCAGAGAAAUUUGGAUUAAUACCCCAUAGUAUAAUGAGUUGGCAUCAGCUUAUUAUUAAAGUACCAACGGUAAAAGAUGAGCAUGCGUCCCAUUAGCUAGAUGGUAAGGUAACGGCUUACCAUGGCCACGAUGGGUAGGGGUCCUGAGAGGGAGAUCCCCCUAACUGGUACGUAGACACGGACCAGACUCCUACGGGAGGCAGAAGUGAGGAAUAUUGGUCAAUGGGCACAAGCCUGAACCAGCCAUGCCGCGUGCAGGAAGAAUGUCCUAUGGAUUGUAAACUGCUUUUGCACAGGAAGAAACAACUCUACGAGUAGAGUCUUGACGGUACUGUGAGAAUAAGGAUCGGCUAACUCCGUGCCAGCCGCCGCAGUAAGAC
rnacentral:rRNA from 1 species